rnacentral:rRNA from 1 species
UGAAGUUAUUUUGUACUUGUGCAAUUUGACUUUGAAAAGCUUCUAUGUCUUAUAAACCCAUUAGUAUGUCUCUGAAUGUUUUUUAUUGGGACUUGAUUGGCCCUUUAAACUUGUACAACUUUUAGCAACGGAUCUCUUGGCUCUCCCAUCGAUGAAGAACGCAGCGAAAUGCGAUAAGUAAUGUGAAUUGCAGAAUUCAGUGAAUCAUCGAAUCUUUGAACGCACCUUGCGCCCUCUGGUAUUCCGGAGGGCAUGCCUGUUUGAGUGUCAUUAAAUUCUCAACUUCAAUAGCUUUUACUAGCUUAUUGAUGCUUGGAUGUGGGAGCUUGCUGGCGUCUUAGAUGUUCGGCUCUCCUUAAAGUUAUUAGUGGAAACCUCUUUGUUGGUUUAUUCCUUAGUGUGAUAAUUAUCUACGCUAUAAAUAAUCUAAUGUUCCAUUGAGACUUGGGAUUUCUCAGUAGAAAUACUGGUUUGGGUACUGCAAUUAAAUUUGCUGUAUCUGUAAUCUCUCAGUAGCAAUACUGGUCUGGGUAUUGCAAUUAAAUUUGCUUUGCCUGUAGUCUCAGAGGAAAAGAAAAGUUCUGCUUUCUAACCGUCUAUGUAUAUAGACAAUUUAUUGACUAUUUGACCUCAAAUCAGGUAGGACUACCCGCUGAACUUAAGCAUAUCAAUAAGCGGAGGA